rnacentral:rRNA from 1 species
CCAAUAGCGUAUAUUAAAGUUGUUGCAGUUAAAAAGCUCGUAGUUGAAUUUCGAGAUCAAUAUAUUGGUCGUGCCUCCGGUACGUACUGGUAUCGUUGAUUUCUACCUUCUGACGAACCAUGAUGUCAUUAAUUUGGUGUCAUGGGAAAUCAGGACUGUUACUUUGAAAAAAUUAGAGUGUUUAAAGCAGGCACACGCUUGAAUACAUUAGCAUGGAAUAAUGAAAUAGGACGUUUGACCCUAUUUUGUUGGUUUUUAGGAUCGACGUAAUGAUUAAUAGGGAUAGUUGGGGGCAUUAGUAGUCAAUUGUCAGAGGUGAAAUUCUUGGAUUUAUUGAAGACUAACUACUGCGAAAGCAUUUGCCAAGGAUGUUUUCAUUAAUCAAGAACGAAAGUUAGGGGAUCGAAGACGAUCAGAUACCGUCGUAGUCUUAACCAUAAACUAUGCCGACUAGGGAUCGGAUGAUGUUAAUUUUUUAAUGACUCAUUCGGCGCCUUACG